rnacentral:rRNA from 1 species
GACGAACGCUGGCGGCGUGCCUAAUACAUGCAAGUUGAGCGAUCAAACGAGGUACUUGUUCCAACUACAUGAGCAGCGAACGGGUGAGUAACGCGUGGAUAAUCUGCCUUUAAGCGUGGGAUAACAUCGGGAAACGAAUGCUAAUACCGCAUAAAAACUUUAAACACAAGUUUUAAGAUUGAAAGAUGCAAUUGCAUCACUCAAAGAUGAUCCCGCCUCCUAUUAGCUAGUUUGGGAGGUUAAGGCCCACCAAAGGCAAGAUACAUAACCCACCCUAGAGGGGGAUCCGGCCACAUUGGAAUGAGAAACCGCCCAAACUUCCACGGGGGGCAGCAGUAAGGAAUCCUUCGCCAUUGAGGAAAGUCUGACCGAGGAACGGCGCGUGAGUUAAUGAGGUUUUUCGAAUCGAAAAACUUUGUUGUUGGGAAGAACGUUGUUUGUAAGUAAAUGUGCACCAAGUGACGGUACCUAAUCAGAAAGCGACGGCUAACUACGUG